GUAUUUACCUGAUAGGGGAGAUAUCAUGAUCAGAGAGGUGGUUUUUCUAGGGCAAGGCUUUUCCAUUGAUUCCAGAUGUGCUGACUCUUGCAUUUUCCUAAAUAUGGGAAACUCGACUGUAUAAUUUGUGGUGGGGGCACACUGUGUUCGUCUGUUCCCCU